rnacentral:rRNA from 1 species
GAUGAUGCAUAGCCCGAGUUGAGAGACUGAUCGGGCCACAUUGGGGACUGAGACACGGGGCCCAAACUACCUACGGGGGGAGGGGGCAGCAGUAGGGGGAAGUCUUCCACAAUGGACGCAAGUCUGAUGGAGCAACGCCGCGUGAGUGAAGAAGGUUUUCGGAUCGUAAAGCUCUGUUGUUGGUGAAGAAGGAUAGAGGUAGUAACUGGCCUUUAUUUGACGGUAAUCAACCAGAAAGUCACGGCUAACUACGUGCCAGCAGCCGCGGUAAAU